rnacentral:rRNA from 1 species
CUCCCGAGCAGCUCCAUAGCGUAUAUUAAGUUGUUGCGGUUAAAAAGCUCGUAGUUGGAUUUCUGCGUGGAAGGAGCGGUCCACCCUUUGGGCGAGUUACUGCUACCUUUGACGCAUCUUUCUGAGGACGUGUUCUUCACUUAAUUGUGAGGGCGCAGGACUCAGAACAUUUACUUUGAGGAAAUGAGAGUGUUUCAAGCAGGCAAAUGCCUUGAAUACGUUAGCAUGGAAUAAUAGCAUCGGACCAUCGUCCAGCUGUUGGUGUCUGGGCGAAGGUAAAGGUGAAUAGGGAUUGUUGGGGGCAUUCGUAUUUAACUGUCAGAGGUGAAAUUCUUGGAUUUGUUGAAGACGGACCACUGCGAAAGCAUCUGCCAAAGAUGUUCUCAUUGAUCAAGAACGAAAGUUAGGUGAUCGAAAACGAUCAGAUACCGUCCUAGUCUUAACCAUAAACUAUGCCGACUGGAGAUAGGAAGCGUUUAUCUUACGACUCUUUCUGCAUCUUGAGAGAAAUCAAAGUCUUUGGGUUCCGGGGGGAGUAUGGUCGCAAGGCUGAAACUUAAAGGAAUUUGACGGAAGGGCACCACCAGGAGUGGAGCCUGCGGCUUAAUUUGACUCAACACGGGGAAACUUACCAGGUCCGGACAUAGGUAGGAUUUGACAGACUGAGAGCUCUUUCUUUGAUUCUAUGGGUGGUGGUGCAUGGCCGUUUCUUAGUUGGUGGGAGUGAUUUGUCUGGUUAAUUCCCGUUAACGAACGAGACCUUAACCUGCUAAAUAGCUACGGCCACCCUCUUUGGUUGCCGGUCAGCUUCUUAGAGGGACGUCGCGUGUCUAACGCGAGGAAGCGUGAGGCAAUAACAGGUCUGUGAUGCCCUUAGAUGUUCUGGGCUGCACGCGCGCUACACUGAUGCGUUCAACGAGUAUAUCUUGGCCGAAGAGGUCUGGGUAAUCUUGUGAAAGCGCAUCGUGAUGGGGAUAGAUUAUUUGCAAUUGUUAUCUUCACGAGGAAUAUCUAGUAAGCGCGAUUCAUCAAUCGUGCUGAUUACGUCCCCUGCCCUUUGUACCACCCGCCCGUCGCUCUUCCGAUUGGAUGGAUCCCGGUGAAUAAUUCUGACUGCGGAGGAUCAGUUCCUGAGUCCUUGUUUGGAAGUUUGUGACCUUAUCCUCUCACGGAAAGAAAGUCGUAACA